UGAUCCUGGCUCAGAGCGAACGUUAGCGGCGCGCCUAACACAUGCAAGUCGCACGAGAAAGGGGGCAACCCCCGGUACAGUGGCGCACGGGUGAGUAACACGUGGGUGAUCUGCCCAGAAGAAGGGGAUAACCUCUCGAAAGGGGGGCUAAUACCGCAUAGGACCACCGGGGCUUUGGCUCUGUGGUGAAAGGGGGCCUCUGUUUACAAGCUCCUGCUUCUGGAUGAGCCCGCGUCCCAUCAGCUAGUUGGUAGGGUAAUGGCCUACCAAGGCUACGACGGGUAGCUGGUCUAAGAGGAUGGCCAGCCACACUGAAACUGAGACACGGUCCAGACUCCUACGGGAGGCAGCAGUGGGGAAUCUUGCGCAAUGGGCGAAAGCCUGACGCAGCGACGCCGCGUGGGUGACGAAGGCCUCGG
rnacentral:rRNA from 1 species